rnacentral:lncRNA from 1 species
CCCGCCUCGGCCUCCCAAAGUGCUGGGAUUACAGGCGUGAGCCACCGCGCCCGGCCCCAAAACAAAUAAUUUUAAAAGAAACAAAAAUUUAAAAAACAACUAACAACCAGGAAUAACCCUCUCCUUUGAGAACCCCAAUACCACCUCACAAUACACAUAAUCAUGAGAAUCUGUAUUAAGGGUUUCUCACCCUUAAUACAGGAAGUUGCCAUACAAAAGGAAGUAUGCAGACGUCGCUCUGUGUCUCUUAAAGUUCCAACGUUUCCUUACUCAUAAAUGACAAAGAGUGCUCUUCAGAUUGACACAUCAGGUUGCAGCUCUUCUCUGCUUGAAAUCCCUCUGUAGCUUUUCAAGGUAGUGUCCCCUCCUUCGAAGGGAACAGCAGCUCCUUUGUGACCAGGAUCCAGCACACGUUUCGUCUCCUAUUUGUACUCUCCGGCUCUUGUGUGCUGGUCUUCUCCCUCCAGCUCCAGGGAAUGAUGUGCGUUUUCCUGGCAUUUGCCUUCUGCCUCUUUCCUGGAUCCGGGCUGUUUCCACUUCCUCCCCUCCCCACUCCCACGCCCCUGCCCAUCACCUACUCAUCCUGCAAGUCUGACCUGAAGCCCUGCCUCUUGUGCAAGAUCUCCGGACCCUCAGCAGAGACCUCCCUCCAUGCUCCUGUUGCAGGACUUUCCCUUAGUUCAGCUGCAAGAUCUCCGGACCCUCAGCAGACCUCCUUCCCUGUUCCUGUUACAGGACUUUCCCUUAGUUCAGCCAACCACGGGGUCCUUGUCCGUCCCACGGCCACGAAAAUGUAGGCUUGCAGACGGUUUGAAGGGUCAAGAGUUACCAAUACCAAGACAUCAAACUGCACAGAGAUUGGACCUAGAGCAGCAGGAGGUAGUAUAUAAAACACCAAUACUAGAGGGAAUUAGGAGAGGGAGCAGAAAAAUGAUUCAUCUGUAGCACGUGUGGUCUGCAAGUUGCAGGGUGUAGAAUGUAGCUUGUGGAUAGAGGAAGAGUAUUAGAAAAAAUUAAUGCUCAUUCAAGUUUAUUUUAUGAACUAGCCAAAAAGUCACACAUGGAUACUCACAGUAGGUAGAAUAAUCAGAGCAGAAAUAGCACUUCUGGCACAUAGUUAUUGGGAUUGAGGAAGAAUUCAUUUUAGCUUUAAUUUUAAAAUAGCUUUAAUUACUUUUAUUUUAAUUAAUUCUUCUAAAGCUUUUAAUUUUAAAAAAGCUUUUAAUUUUUAUUGUGGAAAAACAUACAUAGCAUAAAAUUUGCCAUUUUAACGAUUUCUAAGUGCAUAGUUCAGCGUCACUAAAUACAAUCACCUGAUUGUACAACCGUCACCACCAUCCAUCAUCUCUAGAGCUUUUUCCUUUUCAACUUCCCAAACUGAAACUCUGUACCCAUUAAACAAUAGCUCUUCAUUACUCUAUCCUCCCAGUACCUGGGAACCAUCAUUCUACUUCUGGUUUCUAUGAAAAUGACAUUCUAGAUAUCUCAUAUAAGUGGAAUCAUGCAGUGUUUUUUGUAUCCAGCUUCUUUCACUUAGCCUUAUGUCAAGGCUCAUCCAUAUCGUAGCAUGUGUCAGAAUGUCUCUUUUUAAGGCUAAGUAAUAUUCCACUGUAUGUCUGUACCACAUUUUGUUUAUCCAUUCCUCUGUCAAUGAAUGCUUCCACCUUUUGGCUAUCAUGAAUAAUGCUGCUAUGCAAGUGAAUUUGCAAAUAUCUGUUGAAGUCCCUGCUUUCAAUUCUUAUGGGUUUAAACCCAGAAGUGGACUUGAUGACUCACAGGGUAAUUCUAUGUUCCAAUUUUUUUAGGAGCCACUGUACUCUUUUUCCACCAUGACUAUACCACCGUAGAGUCCACCAGCAAUGCACAGGAGUUCUGAUUUGGCUACAUCCUCACCAAAAUGUAUAUUUCCUGUUUUUUUUGAUAAUUGCCAUCUUAAUGGGUAUGAAGUAGUAUCUUAUUGUGGUUUUGAUUUCCUUAGUAAUCAGUGAUGUUGAGCAUCUUUUAUGUGCUUGAUGGCCAUUUGUAUAUCUUCUUUGGGAAAAUGUCUACGUAAGUCCUUUGAAUAUUUUUUAAUUGGGUUGUUUAUUUAUUGUUGAGUUGUAGGAAUUCUUUAUAUAUUCUGGAUAUUGAUCCCUUAUCAAAUAUAUUAUUUGAAAUAUUUCCUUCCAUUCUGCAGGUUGUCCUUUGAUUGCACAAAAGUUUUAAAUUUUGAUGAAGUCCAGUUUACUUAUCUUUUUCUUUUGUUGCCCAUGCUUUUGGUGUCAGAAAGCUUUUAGCUUAUAAUUUUAAAUAUAUCAUGUUUCCUGCCUCAUAUGUACCACUGGACAAGGUCCCUUUUAUGUGCUCAGCUUCUGUCAGAGGUCCAUGUAUUUUGAAGUGGAGAACAAAGAUAAUUGCAAAAUUGGCAUGGAGAACUAAGGUAAUUAUGAAAGUUCCAGACACAAAGAGAGAAGGUUCAAUAUGCCAGCAGUUCUCUACCAAUCCAUCCUGGAAGUCUUCUUUUAGGACUGCCUAAAUAAUGCAGGGGAUGAGUGCAAGACACACAAGUGUUCCAGAAGCAUGUAAACAAGAUACCGAGAAGAGGAUACGAUAAAAUAAGAUGAGAUAGGAAUAUUAGGAAAGCCCUUGUUCAGAAGGUUGCCUACAGAGGCAAAAGGGACAGUUUCACUUUGCUGAGGGAAACAGGGUGGUAAGAACCCUCACGGGGAAGACCUCUGCUUACCCUGACACAGAGAGAAGGUGUAAAAUAACUU